ACAGUGCGAGUCUCCGCUGAUUUGCGGUGGUGCAUCCCACCCGGAUAACUGUGGAGUUUUCGCAGGGCGAGGGGGAGAACUGGAGCUUGAAACUCCCAUAUUCCUUGCACCUCUCGGGCCCUGGACAGGCAGCUCUUAGUCACUGGGGUGUCCAUAGCGCCCGCGAAGGGCCAGCGUCCCAGAGGGUUCCCAGGUCAGGUUGGUGACGCGUGGGGCUUCCCUAACUUCAUAGGCAAAGCCUGCCAGACCCUCCCCCGGGGAGCGGAGCUCCGAGCACCAGGGCCGACUCCGCUCCUGAGGCCGCUGAGCCCUCCUGCACCUGUCCGGCCCGGGAAGUGCCAUAGGACAGCUGAUUGCCAAGUUAAUGAGCAUCUUCGGAAACCAGGGCUCUGCGGGAUGCUUCAGUCCUGAUUUUGCCAAUAAGCAGGACGUGAAGGACUCUGUGAGGACGGUGGAGAUCUCCUAUUUCCUUCCUCUCAGGACCAGCAAAGGCCACUGUGAUCCUGUACCCUCACCGGAGAAGGGUUAGUGGCUGCCCCACCUGGAUCUCCAGGCCUGGCUGAACCAAUGGAUGACUGACCAUCAGAACCCUUCUUCUGCCUCUCUCCUGUGAGAAUCUGGCUCACAGUUGGCUCCUGGGCCAAGCCAAUUGGGCAUCUCCCCACAGAGACGGAGUUUCACCGUGUUAUCCAGGAUGCUCUUGAUCUCCUGACCUCGUGAUCUGCCUGCCUCGGCCUCCCAAAGUGCUGGGAUUACAGGCUGCCUGCUGCACUCCAGUGGAUGCAAUCUCCGGCCGUUGCUAACUGAUGUUCCAGUCUGAGGCCAAUCAGAAACUUUGGGGUUUUGCAUGGUCAACAUGAGUGGAAAAUCAAGUGGCUAUUUAUUACUUUUUUAUGGUUCUCUGGUGGGAGCAGUGGCUGCUAUGGACAGUGAGAUUGACACCAUUCUCCCAACCCGUUGCUGAGAAUUGGACUGCAUACCUUGGAUUCCUGCAGACAGCACAGCGGAAUAAGCUGCCCCUCACCAUGGCCACAGGCAUCCUUCUUGGAGAUGUCAGGGAAAUGUUGGAUAUGUUGCAGAAUUAGGGAGUGGAACCCUCUCCCUCUCCUCAGCCCUCAACCUCUCCGUAGGAAUAAUGUGUGUGUUAGGGGGCAGAUUAAGAGACCCCUGAGGCCGGGCACGGUGGCUCAUGCCUGUAAUCCCAGCACUUUGGGUGGCUGAGGCGGGAGGAUUACUUGAGGUCAGGAGUUGGAGACCAGCCUGGCUAACACGGUGAAACCCCGUCUCUACUAAAAACAUAAAAAUUAGCUUGGUGGUGGUGCACGCCUGUAGUCCUAGCUACUCGGGUGGCUGAGGCAGAAGAAUGGCUUGAACCCGGAAGGUGGAGGUUGCAGUGAGCCGAGAUUGUGGCCCUGCACUCCAGCCUGGGUGACAGAGCGAGACACCAUCUCAAACAAAACAAAACACAAAAAGUAACCAGACGUAGUGGCAGGAGUCUGUAAUCCUAGCUACUAGGAAGGCUGAGACAGGAGAAUCCUUUGAACCCGGGAGGCGGAGCUUGCAAUGAGCUGAGAUCCGGCCACUGCACUCCAGCCUGGGCGACAGAGCGAGACUCCGUCUCAAAAAAAAAAAAAAAAAAAAAAAAAG
rnacentral:lncRNA from 1 species